rnacentral:lncRNA from 1 species
GAAGCUCAGGGAGUGUUCCUCCAGGAUACGAGGAAGGGAUAACAAGAGACAGAGAGAAAAGAACUAUUAGUCUGUUGUUACUGAAAUGGUAUCAUAGAAAGCGUCAGAAUGCAACAAGUGCCAUGGAUGGAAAACAGAUCCUUGCUGUUGGCUUGUACUUCAAAUCCAUGACCAAAUAUUACAUAAGAAUUGGAGCUGGUCUAUUAGGGAGAGGGAGAUGACAGCCCGGGAUCCGCCAUGCUGGAGGUGACCCCAGAGUUGCCUUUUAUUACAAUGACCUUUACAAACGACUCAAGUCUUUCAUUCUUCACUUUCUCCAGAUGUGGUUUUGAAGUGUACAGUGACAGCUGAUGCGUUUUUGUGACACUGCUUUGAUUUGUGCUAAGGAACCAGCAGUUUUACCUACCAUUGCUUUUGUGUCAUUAAGGCAAAUAUCAACACUGUGGAAAAGGCAAAUAACAUGCUAGUAUUACUAUGAAAGUUGUUUUGAU